rnacentral:rRNA from 1 species
UACGGGGGGAGCAAGCGUUGUUCGGAUUUACUGGGCGUAAAGGGCGCGUAGGCGGCCACCGCAAGUCGACUGUGAAAUCUCCGGGCUUAACCCGGAAAGGUCAGCCGAUACUGCGGGGCUAGAGUGCAGAAGGGGCAACUGGAAUUCUCGGUGUAGCGGUGAAAUGCGUAGAUAUUGGGAGGAACACCAGCGGCGAAGGCGGCUCACUGGACCGGAACUGACGCUGAGGCGCGAAAGCGUGGGGAGCAAACAGG